rfam:Toxocara canis scaffold489, whole genome shotgun sequence.
CGGGCAGUAGCUCAGUGGUAGAGCUCCCGAUUCUUAUGUGGGAAGACCCGGGUUCGAUUCUCGGCUGCUUUC